rnacentral:lncRNA from 1 species
AUUCCAUGACCAGGGCCAAGGUGCUGGACAUCGACCUGCAGAAGCAGCUCAGGCCUUACAUGGAGUCCAUGGUGCCACUUCCGGGCAUCUAUGAUCCGGACUUCAUUGCAGCUAACCAGGGUUCUCGCGCCAACAAUGUCAUCAAGGGCACCAAGAAAGAGCAGGUUGACCAGAUCAUCAAGGACAUCAGGUAUACAUACAUGAAUGAUAAUGUGCCUCUGCAUAAUUAAAAAAGUGAAUUACACUCAGGUGAACAUAAAACAAAGGAACAAUACUACAAAAUUCGUGCAUGUGAACCAUGAUAGGCACUCUGCUUAUCACAGAACGUAUUUUUUUUAACUGAUGCAAUAAAAGUUUCUAUGGGGUGCGUGCUAAAAAAUGUGUCAAUAGUACAGUCUCAAGUAGUGUCAUUUGUAUAUGAACUAUACAGCAGUCACUGGCAAUUCCAUGAGGACUCGGAGAGUUGAAAAUACUGUCAAUAUUAGCAGUUUAUCAUAGUUAAUGAUGUUAUUUGGUAGGUAUGGUUUGAGGAUCCAGAUUAACAUGGCUGAAGCAACAUGGUUUACUAGUAUAAGUAAUCCCUUACAAAAACUAUGGCUUAUGUGGCUAAUUAAACAGGGAGUUCAAGGAGAAGAACAAGGUGGACAAGAUAGUUGUGCUCUGGACUGCAAACACUGAAAGGUACAGCAAUGUCUGUGCUGGUCUCAACGACACCGUGGAGAACCUCCUGGCAUCUGUAGACAAGAACGAGGCAGAGAUCUCACCAUCGACGUUGUAUGCCAUUGCCUGUGUCAUGGAGGGUGUACCAUUCAUCAAUGGAAGCCCCCAGAACACCUUUGUGCCUGGUGAGUAGUCUGCUGCGUGCAAAGUUUUCUAUGGCGUCUCAUUUCUGUUUCAUGGCUGAUACAAGUUACUUGUACGCAGGCCUGAUUGACCUUGCUAUCAAAAACAACUGCUUGAUUGGUGGUGAUGAUUUCAAGAGUGGACAGACCAAGAUGAAGUCUGUUUUGGUUGAUUUCCUUGUUGGUGCUGGAAUAAAGGUACAAAUUAUCAGAGAAACCAUAUUUCUCUUACAUUAAAUUGACGAAAUAUUAUCGGGAAAUGCCAUCCUAAAAAUAAAUUUUGUUUAUGCUCCUGCAGCCCACCUCAAUUGUGAGCUACAACCACUUGGGAAACAACGAUGGCAUGAACCUGUCAGCCCCUCAAACAUUCCGCUCCAAGGAGAUCUCCAAGAGCAAUGUGGUGGAUGACAUGGUCUCGAGCAACGCUAUCCUUUAUGAGCCCGGCGAGCAUCCUGAUCACGUUGUCGUGAUCAAGGUCUGUCAUCUAACCUUCCACCUUGUGCAAAGUGCCAGAGUGCAGACCCCACAACUAUCAAAUAGUAUCAAAUAAUUUAGAUUUGUUCUGAAACUUGACACUCCUUGUUGCAGUAUGUGCCCUACGUCGGGGACAGCAAGAGAGCCAUGGAUGAGUACACCUCUGAGAUCUUCAUGGGCGGCAAGAACACCAUCGUGCUGCACAACACCUGCGAGGACUCGCUCCUCGCUGCACCAAUCAUACUUGAUCUGGUGCUCCUGGCUGAGCUCAGCACCAGGAUCCAGCUGAAAGCUGAGGGAGAGGUAAGAGGUCACAGACUGAAUGACCCCGUGCCAAGUGCUCCAGCACUGCAACACCAUCUGAUCAACGUUUCCUCUGGUGCAGGAGAAGUUCCACUCCUUCCACCCAGUGGCCACCAUCCUGAGCUACCUCACCAAGGCGCCCCUGGUAAGCUCUCAGUCUCACGCGUUCUGGCAUCAUUCAAUUGCAUUUAGCUCCAAUAAUCCAGGCCCUGAUCGUCUUGCACAAACUGAACAAACAGGUUCCCCCCGGCACACCGGUGGUGAACGCUCUGGCGAAGCAGAGGGCGAUGCUGGAGAACAUCAUGAGGGCCUGCGUCGGGCUGGCCCCCGAGAACAACAUGAUCCUGGAGUACAAAUGAGCGCUGCGGGCUACUGGAAGCCUGGAAGGGAACAAGAAAGGCGAGACUAGCUGUGGGGCUGUGUGUGGCGUCUCGUGUUUCUUUUUU